rnacentral:tRNA from 1 species
GUCUUCAUGGCUUAGUUGGUUAAAGCGUCGGUCUCAUAUCCUCUAGAUGUGACCCACUUCAAAAGUGGGAUAUCCGAAGGUCGCGAGUUCGACUCUCGCUGAGGACA